CGGGGCGGUCGUGGGGGGCGUCUGGGGCUCCACAGGACGUCCCUGACCCACCUUACGCCCCCCAGGGAGUGGCAAGACCCUUGGGUUUCCAGCCUCCGCGCCAGGCCUCGUCCCUGCACGGGACAGGUCGCGGCCCUCCACCAUUUCCCGCGGCCCUUGCUUCCCGGCAGCAGCUCCCGCCUGACGACUGAGUGGACUGCGCUGGGGGGGCCGCCGCUGGGACCCAGCCCCUCCAGAAAGAGCCCUCUCUGCACCCGCUCCCACCCGCGCGAAGCACAAGAUGGGGCUGUCCCCGAGACAAAGCCUAAAACCAACUGUACCGGAAUUUUUGGAAACUGAAACACAACGUGUCCAAGAUGGGAAUGUCAGGACGCCAGCCAACGAAGUGUCUGCCCUCCAGGGACACAAUAUCUGUCCACUGUCCCUGCCCACGUCCCCUCACAGCCCUGCAAGGAGGCGGCGGCUCAGAGAGGAGUGACUCACCUGAGGCCCCGUGGCCAAUGCGUGGUGGAUGGAAGUACAUGGAACGCCAGAGCCAGGCUGGUGACCAAUGCUGGUGGUGGGGACUGGUCAGGGUGGCCACCAGGGAGGGGAUGUGAGGACACGGUCCAGACUGAUGGAACAGCUGACGGGGGCAGGCACAGGGGGAGGGAGGUUUCAAGGACGCCCCUCAGUUUCUGGCCCAGGUGACCAGGUGGAAGGUCAUUUCCUGAGUGAGGGACACAGCAGGACAGACAGGCUUGGGGAGGGACUGUUGGGAUAUCUGGAGUCUAGGAGAGGAUCUGGGCGGGGGAUGGAGGGGAGGGCGGAAUGAGCUCAUGGGGCAAGUGGAAGGCUAGUGGGCAGUGGAAGAGCUCCAGCCCCCAGAGACCCAGCCAAGGUCAAGUAAUAAUGACAGUAGACGUUACGUAGCCUUGACUCUGUGCAGACCUCAUCCUGCGUCCUUACAUUAACUCAUUGAACCCUCUCAACCAUUAUCAAAUUGGAGCCACCAUUAUCACCCCCAUUUUAUAGUUGGGGAAACUGAGGCAAGAGACAUUAAGCCUGCAGUGUUGGAAUAGGCAAAUCUGUAGAGAAAGGAACGUGGGUGAGUGGUGGGCUGGGGAGGAUCAUAGCUAACGGGCACAGGCUUUCUUUUUUGGGUGAUGAAAAUAUUCUAAAAUGACUGUGAAAAUAUUGCACAACGCUGUGAAUAUGCAGAAACCCACUGAAUUGUAUGCUUUAAAUGUGUGAAUUGUAUAGUAUUUGAAUUUCAUCUCAGUAGAGCUGUUACCAAAAAGCAAGAAAGAGAGAAAGAGAAUAUUUGUACCUGGACACUUUUGUCUCUGGGUGGAGAUUACUCCACCUCAGGAAGCAGUAAACCCCAACCACCAAUUUUUGGAGGCUUGCUCCAUAUGACUUUGGGGAGGGGUUGGGGAGGGAUGGGGUAGGAUAGUGUCUCAGCUGCUCUUCCUGGAGGAACAAGGGCCCAGCCAGCAGAUCACCCAGAAGCUUGGUGCCCCAGCCCCUCCUAGAGGAACCCCAGUGUCUGCUUGGGUCCAGGAACACACAGUGGCUGCCUUCCUUCCGGUCCUCCUGGUCCCCACAGGUCAUGGGCUGGAGACCCAGGAUGGUCUCUGUGAUGGUCACACCUGGCUCCUCCCUCCAUAUCCCAACUGAGGCUGGGAGGCCCAGGCUGCCCUGGUGCCCAGGGGCUGUGACUGACCCAUGGCCUGUGCCAGGAUGGCGACUGUGAAGAGGCUCCAGGGAGCCCGUGGGUAUGAGCCAGUGGGAGAAUGAAAAGAGGAAGGGAGAAGUCUGCAGGCCUGCCCCACCCAGCUGGAGGGGUCAGAGAAGGAGCUGUGCUGUCCAGGAAGGUGGGGUGGCCAGCAAAGCGGCCUGGAGAGACGAGGAGGAGAGGGUUUGGGAGAGUGGCUUCCCAUGCCAUGGCACCUUCUCCAGAGUAGGGUCACAAGCAUUCAGGAGGGAAGGAAGUGCAGACAGCUAGUGGACAGUUCUUUGGGGAAGCUGGGCUGAGAAGGGAGAGGGGGUAGAGCAAUAGCUGUUUUUAUUUUCUGGGCUGAGAGGAAGGAAUGGAUAGUGGGGAGAAGAGCUGCUGACCACACAGCAGAGGGGUGGGCCAGUGGGAGAGGGGCUUCUGCAGAGAUGGGGGUGUUCUGGAGCUAGAUGGGGGCCCCCACUCCCAGGAGGGCAGUGGGUGGGGUGCGGGCUGAGAGCUGCAAAGCUGAUGGCAGGAGGGGAGGCCGAGGGGCCCUGUGGCCUCUCCUCUUUGCAAUAGAGGAGGGGUGUUGGGAUUGUGGGGCUUCAGGGGUUUUGCUGUCUCUACUGAAGGCCCCAGAAGAAGGAAGCCUUGGGGACCAGAAAGGGUGGGUGGUGCUGGGAGAGGGCUCGCAUGCCACUGCUGGGCUGUGUGGAAGUCCCCGUCUGAAACGGGGUUGUUCUUUCUCUUGAGAGCUCCAAGUGCCAGCCAUGUGCCCCUGGCCUGGAGAGCAAGGGGCCUGUCCUCUGUGGGUUCAUUUACAGCUUUUCAGAGGUGCCCCCGCCUGGUCCUGGGCAACUUGUCAUCAGCGCACCUGGUGUGGAUACCGAGGAGAACUAACAGAGGCCGGGCAGCUCCCGGUGCUUCCCCAGGCCCCCAGCCCCACCCCUCAGCUGAGGACAGCACCUCCCUCUGCCACCCAGGCUGUACCUGCCACUGCCCUCCACUCCACCGGGCUCAGCACACAGCAGGGCUCAGUCAGUUUGCCCUUAUGCCUGUAUGCUCUGGGCAGAUUUCAAAGCACUUUCCCUUAACUACCCACAGAGCACCAUCUCUCCACCACUACCCGUAUGCAUACACACCCAGUGGGGAUGGGGAGAGUUCCCCCCACCCUGGACCCAAAUCAGGCACUUCCUCCCAAGCGAGCCCCUCCUGUGCCUCAUCGGCCCACUCGAAGGCCAUUUAUUCUUCCUUUUGACACAGUCCUGAUACCUUGGGUGCUUCCAUUCCCUAGGCUGGAGGGGAAUUAGAAAGGUGCAUGGGAGGAGAGAGGGCCUAGGAAAAGAGAAGACAGGUGGUAAGUUUGUUUUGUCAACAUUUGCAGCCAAAUUUCAAGGGAGGCCCUGGAGCCACUGUAUAACACAGACGUGACACCUAUGGGGCGGGGCGCUUGUUGAAAGACACACGGGUGCUCUGCUGGCUUGGUGGCUGUGAUGACUUCAUGCAAAUGGCAGCUGCAUUGGUAUGAAACUUUGUUAAAGCAAACUAGGUAUAAAUAAAGAUUCAUGUUCAAAGA